UUUUUCGUAUUCAUUUCCGGA
rnacentral:piRNA from 1 species